GGUUUAGCUCAGUUGGUUAGAGCGUGGUGCUAACAAUGCCAGGGUCGCAGGUUCAAUUCCUGUAUGGGCCA